rnacentral:rRNA from 1 species
UACGAAGGGGGCUAGCGUUGCUCGGAAUCACUGGGCGUAAAGGGUGCGUAGGCGGGUCUUUAAGUCGGGUGUGAAAUCUCGGGGCUUAACUCCGAAACUGCAUUCGAUACUGCCGUGCUUGAGGACUGGAGAGGAGACUGGAAUUUACGGUGUAGCGGUGAAAUGCGUAGAUAUCGUAAGGAAGACCAGUGGCGAAGGCGGGUCUCUGGACAGUUCCUGACGCUGAGGCACGAAGGUCAGGGGAGCAAACGGG